GAGUUUGAUCAUGGCUCAGAUUGAACGCUGGCGGCAUGCCUUACACAUGCAAGUCGAACGGGGUGCGGGGGCAACUUCGCAUUCAGUGGCGAACGGGUGAGUAAUGCAUCGGAACGUGUCCCGUAGUGGGGGAUAACCCGGCGAAAGCCGUGCUAAUACCGCAUACGCUCUACGGAGGAAAGCAGGGGACCCUGGAAGGGGCCUUGUGCUAGGGGGGCGGCCGAUGUCCGAUUAGCUUGUUGGUGGGGUAAUGGCCCACCAAGGCUGCGAUCGGUAGCUGGUCUGAGAGGAUGAUCAGCCACACUGGGACUGAGACACGGCCCAGACUCCUACGGGAGGCAGCAGUGGGGAAUUUUGGACAAUGGGGGCAACCCUGAUCCAGCCAUGCCGCGUGCGGGAAGGAGGCCUUCGGGUUGUAAACCGCUUUUAGCCGGGACGAAAGCUGUACGGAUAACACCCGUGCAGGUUGACGGUACCGGCGGAAUAAGCACCGGCUAACUACGUGCCAGCAGCCGCGGUAUC
rnacentral:rRNA from 1 species